rnacentral:lncRNA from 7 species
GUGGGGGCUGCCUCCUGCUCCUUUUUAGCAAGAGAACAUCUCUACAGCUCCCCAUACCACCUUCUGCAAAAUGACAACCAGCAUAUGACUUGGGUUUGAAAUCCUUGCAGCUGAUGGAAAAACAAUUAAGAUCUCAUUAAAAUUCUAUGUAGGGAGCCAAGAAAAGGAAGAUAAUGUCAGAGGAAAGAAAUUAUUGACUCGAGAUGGAGAAGAACUAGGACAAGAAUGCCCUUGCUUCCAGCACCUCCUGUGACCACGCAUGCGACUGCAUUGUGCCCAGCUGCUGCUGUGCCCAGCCAUUCCACAGGCUCUGUCAUCUCCUUGGCAUCCCAUUGGAAGGGACUGUGGAAGGAAAGGGCCGUGUUUCAUGUGAGAGGCAUUGCUUGUGCUUGGUAGCAGUUCUGUAAAUCCGGGCUCAGGAGCUCAGCAGCACAAACUUUGCUAAUUAUCAAUGGAAUUAAUGCGAGGAACUCCCUGAAACCCCUAUGAAUGCAUGCCUUGCUGAACAAUAUGUCCCUCAAAGCUUUAGGAUGGGAAUGCCGUGAUCAGGGGUGACCACUGCUCAGAGAGGCCUGAAGUGUUCUGUGAUGUUUUGAAUCCCAUGCAACCAUACCAGAGGGGAUGAAUUUUUUGGUAACUGUUUUGCUGAGGAAGCAACAAUAGCUUCAGGUGUCCAACCUCCUCCUUUCCUCUCUUGGGAAGGACCAUCACAGCCAGUCCCAGAGUGGGAUGGGAAUGAAGCAGCAGAGGCUGAUGAGAAUGCCUUUCUUCAACUGAGGGCGUGAAAGAACAAUUUCCCAUUGCUAGGAAUGGAGGUGCUGAGUUAACAUCAACUUUGCAGACUGUGUUGAUUUUCUGCGUGGUUCACUCUAGGCUUCCUAUAACAGACAGCUUAUUAUCUCGCCUUGUGAAAAUCAUACUUGACUUCUGGGAGACGUCUAUCAAAAGGAAAGAAUAGACUGAGAAGCUGGUACUUUCGAUCUAAUUAUCUGGGUUGGUGGUUGUUCAGUGAACCUAUUAACUGCUUGAAGUGACUUGCAUCUUCACAGGUACAGUAUGCAUGAUCAUUCUCUGCACUAUUUAAAUGGGAAAUGCUACAGCUG